UCCCUAUCUGCCGUGGGUGUAGGAUACUUGAGAGGAGUUGCCCCUAGUACGAGAGGACCGGGGUGAACGGACCACUGGUGGACCUGUUGUUGCGCCAGCAGCAGUGCAGGGUAGCUAUGUCCGGACAGGAUAACCGCUGAAGGCAUCUAAGCGGGAAGCCCCCCUCAAAACAAGGUAUCCCUGAGAGCCGUGGUAGACCACCACGUCGAUAGGCUGGAGAUGUAAGCGCAGUAAUGCGUUCAGUUGACCAGUACUAAUUGCUCGAUAGGCUUGAUUUGUUCCAG
rnacentral:rRNA from 1 species